rnacentral:rRNA from 1 species
UACGUAGGGAGCAAGCGUUAUCCGGAUUCAUUGGGCGUAAAGCGCGCGUAGGCGGCUUAUUAAGUCAGCGGUGAAAUUUUGCAGCUUAACUGUAACAGUGCCGUUGAUACUGGGGAGCUAGGAUUUGGUUGCUGUGGGUGGAAUGUGUGGUGUAGCGGUGAAAUGCUUAGAGAUCACACAGAAUAUCGAUUGCGAAGGCAGCUCACAAAGCCAAGAUUGACGCUGAGGCACGAAAGUGUGGGGAUCAAA